rnacentral:lncRNA from 1 species
GCAGACACAGUUGGAUGGCAAUUGGAAGAGUACUGGCCCUGGGAAGACCCAGCUUUGAGCCUCAGGUUGUGUCUAAUCAUCUCUCUGUCCUUGGGCCAGUCAACUCACCUGUUCGUGCUGCCACAGAGACAGAGGGGCCACAUCAGAGAGAAAGACUCUACAGCUUGCCCAGAGUCGAGCUUAAAUGGAGCAGCAUGAUUUUUGUCUGAAAAGUCUGAGAUGGGACCAGUGGAAAGUUCCAUUCAUGCUUCAAAGAGCCAGCAGAUUCAUUCUGGUCAGAACUCUGCUUUCAGUUCAAGUUCCUGCACAAAUCUCCACAUGAAAAGAGAGCAGAAAUCCACCCGGAUGGUUUUUAUUCUGAUGACUUGUGGUGGGACUGCCAGGUUCCAUGACACGGCUUAUUCUAAGAGGGAGGGAAGCGGGUGUAGACACCCACUUUACUGCCCUUUACUGGUGUGACCUUGGCAGAGAAGCUUUCCUUCCUUCUGCACUUUGAGAAUGCUGGAAUAAGAAGCUUUCUAAAGUGCGUCUAGUCCUGAUGUUGUAGAAAUGGUGACAGUUCCAAGCCAUGCCCAGGCUCCUUGAAAGAUCUAGGCCCCUCACUGGAGGGCCCUCAGAGCUCAGGCCCAGCCUGCAGGAUCCUGAAUAUUGAGAUGGGGAACAGUGGGUUCAUUCAUUCCAGUGCACACUUGGCCACACUGUCUCAUGUCAAGGUCAUUUGAGCCCCAGACCCCUGCCCAUCUCCACGUGCCUUGGAUCUCUAGCUGGCCAGCUGGCUAAGCCAGCCAAGCUGAGGAGACCCAUCCUGGGGAGUCACAGGUGGGACCCCCCAACCCCUGCCAGGAGGCAUGAUCUUAAGACAUGGGGGGAAGAUAGGUGAGACCUGUGUGAGGCAAAGUCCCACAGCCAACUCCACUGAGUGCCACCCUAGAGGCCCCUGCCCUAGGCUACCCAGUGAUUAUGAAAGAGCUGCUCCCUGUCAAUCAGGGCCUCCACCCCACGAUGAGGGGUAGCGGAAAGGGCCAGAUUCUGUUUCCUCAUCCCACCCAGGCAAGGGAAGGCUUUGUGUGGCAACUUCCCAAUUUCAUGUUUUAAUUUUCAAAAAGGAAAUAAAUUCUCUCCAGCUGUAGCUGUAA